UACGUAGGGCGCGAGCGUUGUCCGGAAUUAUUGGGCGUAAAGAGCUCGUAGGCGGUGUGUCGCGUCGGCCGUGAAAACCUGCAGCUUAACUGUGGGCUUGCGGUCGAUACGGGCAUCACUGGAGUUCGGCAGGGGAGACUGGAAUUCCUGGUGUAGCGGUGAAAUGCGCAGAUAUCAGGAGGAGCACCGGUGGCGAAGGCGGGUCUCUGGGCCGAUACUGACGCUGAGGAGCGAAAGCGUGGGGAGCGAACAGG
rnacentral:rRNA from 1 species